UUNNNAGAUAGCCANGCANGUCUAGUACAUGCCGUAUUAAGGCGAAACCGCGAAUGGCUCAUUAAAUCAGUUAUGGUUCCUUGGAUCGUACCUUACUACUUGGAUAACUGUGGUAAUUCUAGAGCUAAUACAUGCAGCAGAGCUCCGACCUUCGGGGACGAGCGCUUUUAUUAGACCAAAACCAAUCGGACUCUGUCCGUCUCUUGUGGUGACUCUGAAUAACUUUGGGCUGAUCGCACGGGCCCGUCCCGGCGACGUAUCUUUCAAGUGUCUGCCUUAUCAACUUUCGAUGGUAGGUUACGCGCCUACCAUGGUCGUAACGGGUAACGGGGAAUCAGGGUUCGAUUCCGGAGAGGGAGCCUGAGAAACGGCUACCACAUCCAAGGAAGGCAGCAGGCGCGCAAAUUACCCACUCCCAGAACGGGGAGGUAGUGACGAAAAAUAACAAUACGGGACUCUUUUGAGACCCCGUAAUUGGAAUGAGUACACUCUAAAUCCUUUAACGAGGAUCCAUUGGAGGGCAAGUCUGGUGCCAGCCGCCGCGGUAACUCCAGCUCCAAUAGCGUAUAUUAAAGUUGUUGCGGUUAAAAAGCUCGUAGUUGGAUCUCAGUUCCAGACGGGUGGUCCGCCUACCGGUGGUUACUGCCUGUUCUGAACAGCCAGCCGGUUUCUCUUGAUGAUCUUCACCGGUUGUCUUGGGUGACCGGCAAGUUUACUUUGAAAAAAUUAGAGUGCUCAAAGCAGGCGCGACGCCUGAAUAAUGGUGCAUGGAAUAAUGGAAUAGGACCUCGGUUCUAUUUUGUUGGUUUUCGGAACACGAGGUAAUGAUUAAGAGGGACAGACGGGGGCAUUCGUAUUGCGACGCUAGAGGUGAAAUUCUUGGACCGUCGCAGGACGAACUACUGCAAGAUUUUUUCCCAAGAAA
rnacentral:rRNA from 1 species